CACCGCGGUUAUACGAGAGACCCAAGUUGACAGAAACCGGCGUAAAGCGUGGUUAAGGAAAACUAAAACUAAAGCCGAAUCCCUCCAGAGCAGUUAUACGCAUCCGAAGGCACUAAGCCCCACCACGAAAGUGGCUUUACAUCCCCUGACCCCACGAAAGCUAUGACA
rnacentral:rRNA from 1 species